AGAGUUUGAUUCUGGCUCAGAACGAACGCUGGCGGCGUGGAUAAGACAUGCAAGUCGAACGGGAGAAUUGCUAGCUUGCUAAUAAUUCUCUAGUGGCGCACGGGUGAGUAACACGUGAGUAACCUGCCUCUUAGUGGGGGAUAGCCCUGGGAAACCGGGAUUAAUACCGCAUACGAUUGAAAGAUCAAAGCAGCAAUGCGCUAGGAGAUGGGCUCGCGGCCUAUUAGUUAGUUGGUGAGGUAACGGCUCACCAAGGCGAUGACGGGUAGCCGGUCUGAGAGGAUGUCCGGCCACACUGGAACUGAGACACGGUCCAGACACCUACGGGUGGCAGCAGUCGAGAAUCAUUCACAAUGGGGGCAACCCUGAUGGUGCGACGCCGCGUGGGGGAAUGAAGGUCUUCGGAUUGUAAACCCCUGUCAUGUGGGAGCAAAUUAAAAAGAUAGUACCACAAGAGGAAGAGACGGCUAACUCUGUGCCAGCAGCCGCGGUAAUACAGAGGUCUCAAGCGUUGUUCGGAAUCACUGGGCGUAAAGCGUGCGUAGGCUGUUUCGUAAGUCGUGUGUGAAAGGCAGGGGCUCAACCCCUGGAUUGCACAUGAUACUGCGAGACUAGAGUAAUGGAGGGGGAACCGGAAUUCUCGGUGUAGCAGUGAAAUGCGUAGAUAUCGAGAGGAACACUCGUGGCGAAGGCGGGUUCCUGGACAUUAACUGACGCUGAGGCACGAAGGCCAGGGGAGCGAAAGGGAUUAGAUACCCCUGUAGUCCUGGCAGUAAACGGUGCACGCUUGGUGUGCGGGGAAUCGACCCCCUGCGUGCCGGAGCUAACGCGUUAAGCGUGCCGCCUGGGGAGUACGGUCGCAAGAUUAAAACUCAAAGAAAUUGACGGGGACCCGCACAAGCGGUGGAGUAUGUGGCUUAAUUCGAUGCAACGCGAAGAACCUUACCUGGGCUUGACAUGUAAUGAACAACAUGUGAAAGCAUGCGACUCUUCGGAGGCGUUACACAGGUGCUGCAUGGCCGUCGUCAGCUCGUGUCGUGAGAUGUUUGGUUAAGUCCAGCAACGAGCGCAACCCCUGUUGCCAGUUACCAUCGAGUAAUGUCGGGGACUCUGGCGAGACUGCCCAGAUCAACUGGGAGGAAGGUGGGGACGACGUCAGGUCAGUAUGGCCCUUAUGCCCAGGGCUGCACACGUACUACAAUGCCCAGUACAGAGGGGGCCGAAGCCGCGAGGCGGAGGAAAUCCUGAAAACUGGGCCCAGUUCGGACUGUAGGCUGCAACCCGCCUACACGAAGCCGGAAUCGCUAGUAAUGGCGCAUCAGCUACGGCGCCGUGAAUACGUUCCCGGGUCUUGUACACACCGCCCGUCACAUCAUGGAAGCCGGUCGCACCCGAAGUAUCUGAAGCCAACCGCAAGGAGGCAGGGUCCUAAGGUGAGACUGGUAACUGGGGUGAAGUCGUAACAAGGUAGCCGUAGGGGAACCUGCGG
rnacentral:rRNA from 1 species